rnacentral:tRNA from 1 species
GGGCGCUUAGCUCAGUUGGUUAGAGCGUCUGCUUUACACGCAGAAGGUCGCGGGUUCGAACCCUGCAGCGCCCACCA